GGUGACUCAGUGGUUAAGUGCUUGGCUUCGAACCAAAAUGUCGGUGGUUUGAAUCCACCAGCCACCC
rnacentral:tRNA from 1 species